rnacentral:rRNA from 1 species
UACGGAGGGAGCUAGCGUUGUUCGGAAUUACUGGGCGUAAAGCGCACGUAGGCGGCUUUGUAAGUUAGAGGUGAAAGCCCGGGGCUCAACUCCGGAACUGCCUUUAAGACUGCAUCGCUAGAAUCCGGGAGAGGUGAGUGGAAUUCCGAGUGUAGAGGUGAAAUUCGUAGAUAUUCGGAAGAACACCCGUGGCGAAGGCGGCUCUCUGGGACGGUACUGACGCUGAGACGCGAAAGCGUGGGGAGCGAACAGG